rnacentral:rRNA from 1 species
AUUGAACGCUGGCGGCAGGCUUAACACAUGCAAGUCGAGCGGGGUGAUGGUGCUUGCACUAUCACUUAGCGGCGGACGGGUGUGUAAUGCUUAGGAAUCUGCCUAUUAGUGGGGGACAACAUCUCGAAAGGGAUGCUAAUACCGCAUACGUCCUACGGGAGAAAGCAGGGGAUCACUUGUGACCUUGCGCUAAUAGAUGAGCCUAAGUCGGAUUAGCUAGUUGGUGGGGUAAAGGCCUACCAAGGCGACGAUCUGUAGCGGGUCUGAGAGGAUGAUCCGCCACACUGGGACUGAGACACGGCCCAGACUCCUACGGGAGGCAGCAGUGGGGAAUAUUGGACAAUGGGGGGAACCCUGAUCCAGCCAUGCCGCGUGUGUGAAGAAGGCCUUAUGGUUGUAAAGCACUUUAAGCGAGGAGGAGGCUCUUUUGGUUAAUACCCAAGAUGAGUGGACGUUACUCGCAGAAUAAGCACCGGCUAACUCCGUGCCAGCAGCCGCCGAAA